rnacentral:rRNA from 1 species
GAGUUUGAUCAUGGCUCAGAACGAACGCUGGCGGCGUGGAUAAGACAUGCAAGUCGAACGGGACAGUCUUGUAGCAAUAUGAGACUGUUCAGUGGCGAACGGGUGCGUAACACGUGGGUCACAUUCCGGGAAGUGAGAAAUAGCCCAGGGAAACUUGGAUUAAUAUCUCAUGUGGUCGCAAGACUAAAGGCGCAAGCCGCUUCCUGAUUGGCCCGCGGCCUAUCAGCUAGUUGGUGAGGUAAUGGCUCACCAAGGCAACGACGGGUAGCUGGUCUGAGAGGACGACCAGCCACACUGGAACUGAGACACGGUCCAGACACCUACGGGUGGCAGCAGUCGAGAAUCUUUCACAAUGGGCGAAAGCCUGACGCAGCGACGCCGCGUGAGCGAUGAAGGCCCUCGGGUUGUAAAGCUCUGUGGAGAGGGAAGAAUAAGGGUACGUUAACACCGUGCUCGAUGACGGUACCUCUUUAGCAAGCACCGGCUAACUCUGUGCCAGC